CCUGGGGUUAAAACCCCAGGCUAUUAUCUGACGUCCCUAUCGGGACU
rfam:Candidatus Magnetoglobus multicellularis str. Araruama Cont3486, whole genome shotgun sequence.